UCCCUGGUAGCUCAGAUGGUAAAGAGUCUGCCUACAAUGCAGGAGACCCAGGUUCAAUCCCUGGGUUGGGAA
rnacentral:tRNA from 1 species